UUAACACAUGCAAGUCGAGGGGGCAAGCAUAAUGGAUAGCAAUAUCUAUGGUGGCGACCGGCGCACGGGUGCGUAACGCGUAUGCAACCUACCUUUAACAGGGGGAUAACACUGAGAAAUUGGUACUAAUACCCCAUAAUAUCAUAGAAGGCAUCUUUUAUGGUUGAAAAUUCCGAUGGUUAGAGAUGGGCAUGCGUUGUAUUAGCUAGUUGGUGGGGUAACGGCUCACCAAGGCGACGAUACAUAGGGGGACUGAGAGGUUAACCCCCCACACUGGUACUGAGACACGGACCAGACUCCUACGGGAGGCAGCAGUGAGGAAUAUUGGUCAAUGGACGCAAGUCUGAACCAGCCAUGCCGCGUGCAGGAUGACGGCUCUAUGAGUUGUAAACUGCUUUUGUACUAGGGUAAACUCACCUACGUGUAGGUGACUGAAAGUAUAGUACGAAUAAGGAUCGGCUAACUCCGUG
rnacentral:rRNA from 1 species